rnacentral:rRNA from 1 species
UACGUAGGGUGCGAGCGUUAAUCGGAAUUACUGGGCGUAAAGCGUGCGCAGGCGGUUCGUUGUGUCGGCGGUGAAAGCCCCGGGCUUAACCUGGGAAUGGCCGUUGAAACUGGCGAACUGGAGUGUGGCAGAGGGUGGUGGAAUUCCGCGUGUAGCAGUGAAAUGCGUAGAGAUGCGGAGGAACACCGAUGGCGAAGGCAGCCCCCUGGGCUAACACUGACGCUCAGGCACGAAAGCGUGGGGAGCAAACAGG